rnacentral:rRNA from 1 species
UACGGAGGGUGCAAGCGUUGUUCGGAUUUACUGGGCGUAAAGGGGGUGUAGGCGGCUUCGUCAGUCGGACGUGAAAUCCCUUGGCUCAACCGAGGAAUUGCGCUCGAUACUGCGAAGCUUGAGGACGGCAGAGGGAAACAGAAUUCCUGGUGUAGCGGUGAAAUGCGUUGAUAUCAGGAGGAACACCUGUGGCGAAGGCGGUUUCCUGGGCCGUUUCUGACGCUGAGACCCGAAAGCGACGGGUAGCAAACCGGAUUAGAUACCCGGGUAGUCCACGCCCUAAACGAUGGAUGCUAGUUGUUGGGGUCCUACGUGGUCUCGGUGACGAAGCUAACGCGUUAAGCAUCCCGCCUGGGGACUACGGCCGCAAGGCUAAAACUCAAAUGAAUUGACGG